GACGAACGCUGGCGGCGUGCUUAACACAUGCAAGUCGAGCGGUAAGGGCCCUUUCGGGGGUACACGAGCGGCGAACGGGUGAGUAACACGUGGGUGACCUGCCCUCAGCUCUGGGAUAAGCCUGGGAAACCGGGUCUAAUACCGGAUAUGACUCCAUGACGCAUGGUUGUGGGGUGGAAAGCCUUGUGCGGCUGAGGAUGGGCCCGCGGCCUAUCAGCGUUGUUGGUGGGGUGAUGGCCUACCAAGGCGACGACGGGUAGCCGGCCUGAGAGGGCGACCGGCCGACACUGGGACUGAGACACGGCCCCAGACUCCUACGGGAGGCAGGCAGUGGGGAAUCUUGCGCAAAUGGGCGAAAGCCUGACGCAGCGACGCCGCGUGAGGGAUGA
rnacentral:rRNA from 1 species